rnacentral:rRNA from 1 species
UGGCGGAAGGGUGAGUAACGCGUGGGUAACCUACCCCUAAGUUGGGGACAACUCCGCGAAAGCGGGGCUAAUACCGGACGUGGUUCCUUGUCGCAUGGCGAGGUAACUAAAGGCGGGGAUCUUUCGGGACCUGCCGCUUGGGGAGGGGCCCGCGUCCCAUCAGCUUGUUGGUGAGGUAACGGCUCACCAAGGCUCACGGGUAGCUGGUCUGAGAGGACGGUCAGCCACACUGGGACUGAGACACUGCCCAGACUCCUACGGGAGGCUGCAGUCGAGGAUCAUUUACAAUGCGCGAAAGCGUGAUAAUGCGACGCUGCGUGGAGGAUGACGGCCUUCGGGUUGUAAACUCCUGUCAUGAGGGAAAAAUAGUCCCGGCCCGAAUAAGGUCGGGGUUUGAUGGUACCUCAAGAGGAAGCCACGGCUAACUUCGUGCCAGCAGCCGCGGUAAUACGAAGGUGGCAAGCGUUGUUCGGAUUUACUGGGCGUAGAGCGUGCGUAGGUGGUUUCGUGUGUCGGAUGUGAAAGCCCAUGGCUCAACUGUGGAAUUGCAUUCGAAACUGCGGGACUUGAGUGCAGGAGGGGAGAGCGGAAUUCUUGGUGUAGCGGUGAAAUGCGUUGAUAUCAAGAAGAACACCGGUGGCGAAGGCGGCUCUCUGGAAUGUUACUGACACUGAGGCACGAAAGCUGGGGGAGCAAACAGGAUUAGAUACCCUGGUAGUCCCAGCCGUAAACGGUGCGCACUUGG